rnacentral:rRNA from 1 species
UACAGAGGUCCCAAGCGUUGUUCGGAUUCACUGGGCGUAAAGGGUGCGCAGGUGGGUUUGCAAGUUCGAUGUGAAAGCCCCGGGCUUAACCCGGGAAUGGCAUUGGAUACUGCAGAUCUGGAGGAUCGGAGGGGGGACUGGAAUUCUUGGUGUAGCAGUGAAAUGCGCAGAUAUCAGGAGGAACACCGGUGGCGAAGGCGGGUCUCUGGGCAAUAACUGACGCUGAGGAGCGAAAGCGUGGGGGAGCGAACAGG